GCAGUCGUGGCCGAGUGGUUACGGCGAUGGACUAGAAAUCCAUUGGGGUCUCCCCGCACAGGUUCGAAUCCUGUCGACUGCG
rnacentral:tRNA from 1 species